rnacentral:lncRNA from 1 species
UUUUUUGAUAUUUUACCAAAAUCAUCAGAUCUCUCGAUGGUCGUGAGUGACUUCGAAGACGACGACGACGAGUCACACUUCCCCUGAGCUUCUCGCUUCUCAUACUCUUUCAAAUUCUGGGGCCAAUGAUUUAAACAGACAUUGAUUUUGGAACUCCGUGGUUCAAUGCACGGCCAAGUUUAUUAGAAACACUUUGGUUUGCUGGAGCUGAAACCGAAUCAGUCAAGGAUGGGAAAAGCUCGCAGUGAUAUGACUAUGGAGGAAAGGUUUGGUGCAGCACACAGAAGGAAAAUGGAUGGGGCUCUCUGUUUAAGGAGGAUAAAUUGGAGGAGGCCAAUACGAAAUGGUUAGGAAUCUCUCUUUCUUUCUAACAAUUACGGUCAAAGUUUUGGUUUUCAAGGCAUACUCAGCGACUCUGCCCGAGGCUCUUGCAUCUCCUUUCGGCUCUAAAACAAAGAGCCUUAACUGGUUGAUAGUGUUAUCGCAAUGGUUGGUUUGCCUUUUCUGCCGGAGUUAAAGCAGAUAAAGAGGUAUGAGAAGCUUAACAAUUCAAUUAUAUAAGACCAAAGUGAAAGAUCACAACUCUCAAUUCUCCUAUGUCGGAAUUGAAUUUCUUAUCUUAUUACUGAUUUGUGCAGAAUUUACAAGGAGGAGCUAGCUUAGCUACUACCAUGAAGAUUUGGGGAAGCUGAGAUGUUGCCAGGAGAAGUAAGCACAAACCAAUAGUUGAGAGAUAUAAACAUAAACAGCAAAAGAGAGACUCAUAAGCAUCAGGUCCUUGACGUCUCCUUUCUUCUUCUCUGGCUUCAGAUUCUUCCCAAUCUUCCCAGCCUCUGAAAUCAUCCUUCUCAAUGUUCUCUGGAUCACUCCUUCAUUCUCUUCUGGUAAUUUCUGCUUCCGACAAGACAUCACUCUCAUAGAUCUAACUCCGUGUCUGCUUGAGGCUUGUCUCUUUGUACGGUGGUUAGUGCAGAGUGGGUGGUAGUAGAAGGUGGUGGAGAGAGCCGCCAUGAGAAGAUGAAUAGAAUAAUUGAAGAAAGUUUUUUGUUUUGGGAAUCAAAAGUGAGCAGGAAAAUAUCAGAAUCUUGAUAGCUUAACGACAAAAAUGAUUUGAAAAAUGGGUGGAUAGAUCUCAUCUAACACACACACAUGUAGUCACAAGGUAAUCAGGUAUAGUCGGAAGCAUCUACAAAUUCACAACAACAACACAUUAUGUCUGACUGGUGAGAUAAAUGAUGACUGAGUGGAUAAGCAAAGAAUAAAAUAAUGUCAUAAAGUCAACAACAUGUCUCUGUGACUCUAUCUCUAUCCUAUUAUUAGAUUUAAUCAGAUAACUUUAAAAUCUG